CUGUUGGUGUGCCUGCGCCUCGAGAGUGGGGAGAGGGGGAAGCAAGUGUGAGGAGUCGGUCGCAAGAGGACGCGGAGGAGCCCGCCGCGUCUCAGAAGUUGCUGGCCCCUUCGCGCGAAGAUACAUUUAUCCCAAGUUUGCUUGUGAACGAAGUCUGAAAACUUUGUCAUCAAGACCAUGAAGACACUGAAUCCACAAAUCACAGAGGAGAAAGAAUAUGCCACCAAACUAGCAUCUCAAAGAGCUGCUCAGUUUCCCUCAGAAAUUGUAUCUCUUGCAUAUAUUUGUUUAUUGCCAACUAAGCUAGCUAUUUAUUUAUUUAUUUAUUUAUUUAUUUAUUGUUUAUUUCCUAUCAGUCUGAUAUCUAAAGGAUGAGAGGCUUCAUCCAUGAGUAUUUUUUCCUCUCAAUGUAAGGUUUUGUAACAUGUAAUUUUGGAGUGUAACUUCCAGAAAAUCCCCAAAAUUUACCUGAAAAUGAAAUAUCUCACUAUCACAUAACAGGACAAUUAUUAAAGCCAAUUUAAAAAUUGUCUUAUUUUUUGUCAUCCUAAAAUGUAUAAUUAUCAGGUAAUUUAAAUUUCUAUUUAUUCUUGCUUUUACUUUAUGAAAUAAAGUGGAGUAUAAAACAGUAUUUUUCACUGCUAGAGAUUUUUUAUGUAUAACAUUCUAAUUUUAGCAGAAAUCAGUCAUUGUUUUGUCUAGAUUUCCUUCUUCAAAAAACAUAGCAUGAUUUACCAGCGGAGGAAAAAUGUAGUUUCCAGAAGUAUCCUGUGAUGCUCCUCCGAGUUCAACAGUGUCUUUGGACUGUUUUCAUUCUCAAAUAUCAAUCUGAGAUUUAUUAAUCUUCUCUAGAAGAAGAAAAGUAUUCUGGAGAUAAAAUAUGUAGUAUACUCUCUGAAUAUUCACUGUCACAAACUCAAAGACCAAGUAUGACACAAAAUCUAUGAUUAAAAAAAAACAAGGAAGAAAAAAAUAAUUAAAACUUGCCAUAUGGACAUUUACAGAAUCUAGUUACACCAGCAAGCUUACCAAAAAUUGACAGAUUCUAAUGUGUUUCAGAGGUUUAAGAGAUUUGCCAAUAUCAUAACCACAGUUAAACAUUCCUGUGCCAGUAUAAUUAUGCUACCUCAUGGUGCCAAAUAGAGGUGACUUUUAUGCAUCCACUUGUGUAUAUUAUAAAA